CGGGGGAGGCCGGAUCCUGGGCUGUGUCCCGAUGACCUGUGCUCCGGAGCCUGCACUGUUGGAUUCGCGCUCCCGCCCCACAGCCCCCU
rnacentral:pre_miRNA from 1 species